GGAAAUCUGCUGAAAUAAUACUUUCACUGUGACUGAAUUUUAUAGUAUUUACAAAAUAUAAGUGAUGAUGUGAAAAAUAGAUUCAGAUUGCUACACAGUGGAGAAAUAGUCUAAGCUUAAAAUACUUUUCCCCUGACCACUAAGAACAGGGCACAGAAAUGCAUCUGAGCCAAAGAAAAGUUUAACUUUGGCUGCUUUAAUAAACCAUGUUCUUUGUUCUACUACACCCUACGGGUUUCAUGAACAGUACUGUGUGAUCAAUAACACAUAAAUCAGAACUCUUGAGUCAUAAGGUCUUUGAUGCUGAGACUGAGCCAGCUUAGAAGAAAAUUAUUUUCUUGCUUCUCAGAGUUGCACAAACUUCUUUAGUUUAUAUCUGUCUACUCUUUCAUAGUUUGGAAGCUUUUGAUGGGCUGAAAUGAAGUUCUGAUUUCCAUUCUUUACUAAGCAAAGAUGAGCUAAUCUAAAAAGAACUUCAGGCUUCUUCCAAAGCAGGCGCUUUUGCCGCUGAGCUAAAUCCCCAGCCCCCAACAUGUUCUUCCAAAAUCUCAUAUUCUGAUAAAAAGCACAUUAUAGAAGCUUGUAUACAUUAUUUUAUGAUGCUUCAGAGAAAGAAAAAAUUGAGCUGAUAAAAUUAUGGGACUGAAAAUGAGAAGAAAGUUCUGUGACAAUCACUUAUGAAAUUAUUGCAUUUAAUAUGAACAGAGAGCUGGGCAGGUGAAUAUUUCUCUC
rnacentral:lncRNA from 1 species